AACGUUAAUCGGGGCAGGGUGAGUCGACCCCUAAGGCGAGGCCGAAAGGCGUAGUCGAUGGGAAACGGGUUAAUAUUCCCGUACUUGGUGUUACUGCGAAGGGGGGACGGAGAAGGCUAUGUUGGCCGGGCGACGGUUGUCCCGGUUUAAGCGUGUAGGUAUGUGUUCCAGGUAAAUCCGGUUCACUUUAACACUGAGGCGUGACGACGAGGCACUACGGUGCUGAAGCAACAAAUGCCCUGCUUCCAGGAAAAGCCUCUAAGCAUCAGGUAACAUCAAAUCGUACCCCAAACCGACACAGGUGGUCAGGUAGAGAAUACCAAGGCGCUUGAGAGAACUCGGGUGAAGGAACUAGGCAAAAUGGUGCCGUAACUUCGGGAGAAGGCACGCUGACACGUAGGUGAAGUGAUUUACUCACGGAGCUGAAGUCAGCCGAAGAUACCAGCUGGCUGCAACUGUUUAUUAAAAACACAGCACUGUGCAAACACGAAAGUGGACGUAUACGGUGUGACGCCUGCCCGGUGCCGGAAGGUUAAUUGAUGGGGUCAGCGCAAGCGAAGCUCCUGAUCGAAGCCCCGGUAAACGGCGGCCGUAACUAUAACGGUCCUAAGGUAGCGAAAUUCCUUGUCGGGUAAGUUCCGACCUGCACGAAUGGCGUAAUGAUGGCCAGGCUGUCUCCACCCGAGACUCAGUGAAAUUGAACUCGCUGUGAAGAUGCAGUGUACCCGCGGCAAGACGGAAAGACCCCGUGAACCUUUACUAUAGCUUGACACUGAACAUUGAGCCUUGAUGUGUAGGAUAGGUGGGAGGCUUUGAAGUGUGGACGCCAGUCUGCAUGGAGCCGACCUUGAAAUACCACCCUUUAAUGUUUGAUGUUCUAACGUGGACCCGUGAUCCGGGUUGCGGACAGUGUCUGGUGGGUAGUUUGACUGGGGCGGUCUCCUCCUAAAGAGUAACGGAGGAGCACGAAGGUUGGCUAAUCCUGGUCGGACAUCAGGAGGUUAGUGCAAUGGCAUAAGCCAGCUUGACUGCGAGCGUGACGGCGCGAGCAGGUGCGAAAGCAGGUCAUAGUGAUCCGGUGGUUCUGAAUGGAAGGGCCAUCGCUCAACGGAUAAAAGGUACUCCGGGGAUAACAGGCUGAUACCGCCCAAGAGUUCAUAUCGACGGCGGUGUUUGGCACCUCGAUGUCGGCUCAUCACAUCCUGGGGCUGAAGUAGGUCCCAAGGGUAUGGCUGUUCGCCAUUUAAAGUGGUACGCGAGCUGGGUUUAGAACGUCGUGAGACAGUUCGGUCCCUAUCUGCCGUGGGCGCUGGAGAACUGAGGGGGGCUGCUCCUAGUACGAGAGGACCGGAGUGGACGCAUCACUGGUGUUCGGGUUGUCAUGCCAAUGGCACUGCCCGGUAGCUAAAUGCGGAAGAGAUAAGUGCUGAAAGCAUCUAAGCACGAAACUUGCCCCGAGAUGAGUUCUCCCUGAGACUUUAGGUCUCCUGAAGGAACGUUGAAGACGACGACGUUGAUAGGCCGGGUGUGUAAGCGCAGCGAUGCGUUGAGCUAACCGGUACUAAUGAACCGUGAGGCUUAACCUUACAACGCCGAAG
rnacentral:rRNA from 1 species